GAUGAACGCUGGCGGCGUGCCUAAUACAUGCAAGUCGAGCGAACGGACGAGAAGCUUGCUUCUCUGAUGUUAGCGGCGGACGGGUGAGUAACACGUGGAUAACCUACCUAUAAGACUGGGAUAACUUCGGGAAACCGGAGCUAAUACCGGAUAAUAUUUUGAACCGCAUGGUUCAAAAGUGAAAGACGGUCUUGCUGUCACUUAUAGAUGGAUCCGCGCUGCAUUAGCUAGUUGGUAAGGUAACGGCUUACCAAGGCAACGAUGCGUAGCCGACCUGAGAGGGUGAUCGGCCACACUGGAACUGAGACACGGUCCAGACUCCUACGGGAGGCAGCAGUAGGGAAUCUUCCGCAAUGGGCGAAAGCCUGACGGAGCAACGCCGCGUGAGGGAUGAAGGUCUUCGGAUCGUAAAACUCUGUUAUUAGGGAAGAACAUAUGUGUAAGUAACUGUGCACGUCUUGACGGUACCUAAUCAGAAAGCCACGGCUAACUACGUG
rnacentral:rRNA from 1 species